rnacentral:rRNA from 1 species
CUUGGUCAUUUAGAGGAAGUAAAAGUCGUAACAAGGUUUCAUUCGAACAGUAUCCUUCCGGGUAGCUUGUGGAAGCCUAUGCAACCUAACCAGGGUCCGCGACUAUAAAUAUAGGAUGCAAGUCGCUUGAGCGGCAACAUGAUCGAAUUGCGGGGAUAUCCUAAAGCCUAGCGGUACCAACACUUUGAAGAAAUUCAGGGUGGGCCAGUGCUAAUCACACUGGAGGUCAGAAUCUGCUAGGAUGCUACAAUGGACAAUCCGCAGCGAAGCUCCUAACGGCCAAGGCCCAUGGAGAACGUUCACAGACUAAGUGGUCGUGGGUAGGCUAGUCCUGCUUAAGAUAUAGUCGGGCUCUUUGGGAAACCAACAGAGGCAAACCGUUCCGUAGGUGAACCUGCGGAAGGAUCAUUACAGAGUUCAUGCCCUUCGGGGUAGAUCUCCCACCCUUGUGUAUCAUUAUAGAAUGUUGCUUUGGCGGGUCGCGUGCCUAGCACGCCUGGAUUCGCGUCCGGUGUGCCCGCCAGAGGACCCCUAAACUCUGAAUGUUAAUGUCGUCUGAGUACUAUUAAAUAGUUAAAACUUUCAACAACGGAUCUCUUGGUUCUGGCAUCGAUGAAGAACGCAGCGAAAUGCGAUAAGUAAUGUGAAUUGCGGAAUUCAGUGAAUCAUCGAAUCUUUGAACGCACAUUGCGCCCCCUGGUAUUCCGGGGGGCAUGCCUGUUCGAGCGUCAUUUAUACCAAUCUAGCCUGGCUAGGUGUUGGGCUUCGCCGUCUGGCGGGCCUUAAAACUAGUGGCGGUGCUCUUAGGCUCUACGCGUAGUAAUUUUCUCGCUAUAGGGUCCUGGGAGAUGCUUGCCAGCAACCCCAAAUUUUUCUAGGUUGACCUCGGAUCAGGUAGGGAUACCCGCUGAACUUAAGCAUAUCAAUAAGCGGAGGA